GACGAACGCUGGCGGCGUGCUUAACACAUGCAAGUCGAGCGGUAAGGCCCUUUCGGGGGUACACGAGCGGCGAACGGGUGAGUAACACGUGGGUGACCUGCCCUUAGCUCUGGGAUAAGCCUGGGAAACUGGGUCUAAUACCGGAUAUGACCUCAUGACGCAUGUUGUGGGGUGGAAAGCCUUGUGCGGCUAGGGAUGGGCCCGCGGCCUAUCAGCUUGUUGGUGGGGUGAUGGCCACCAAGGCGACGACGGGUAGCCGGCCUGAGAGGGCGACCGGCCACACUGGGACUGAGACACGGCCCAGACUCCUACGGGAGGCAGCAGUGGGGAAUCUUGCGCAAUGGGCGAAAGCCUGACGCAGCGACGCCGCGUGAGGGAUGACGGCC
rnacentral:rRNA from 1 species